GUCAGCAGGCAGAGAGUCGUCAGCAGGCAGAGAGUCGUCAGCAGGCAGAGGUCGGCAACGGGAGGGCAGAUGGGCAGCAGGGAACGGGUGAACAGACAGACCGACAGGGACUCGACGGCGAUCGGGAGGUCAGGCAGGCGAAGGGUCGAAAGCAGGAGAGGCAGGCUGGUGGAUCAGGAGUCGGGGGCAGAGGAGCAGACAGGCCGACAGGGGCUGGGCGGCAGGCGGGACAGUCAGACAGGCAGGGAUCAGAGAACAGGCAUGAUAGGCAGGGAUCAGAGAACGGGCAGGAUAGUCAGAGAUCAGAAAACAGGCAGGAUCGGAGGUGGGUCAGGAUUCGAGUCGCGGGAAAGCACUGUGAAACACAAGAGACAAUCUGGCAGGGAAUGUUUGGAAGGAGAGGACUGAUAUAGGGAGAGCACAGGUGAAGGUGGUUGACUUAAUUAGGAGAAAUCAGGUUGGAAGGCAGGUGAAUGGGAAAACCAGGGGCAGACCAUGACAGACACAGUAUCAUCUGUGGUUUUCAUUAUUGUUGAAUGAUUCUACUUCUAUGUAUUUUCAACAAAAUUGGACACAAUAUUUCAAGGAAAGAACCGUUCUCCUGUACCAACGCCAAUAUAAUCAUUUUAUGUUUUUGUCUUUUUCACAGGACAUACAGACGGAUGAAAUCCAGUCAAAGCGAAUCAGGGUUUGGUUCUCUAUCCUGGCUUUAUCCAAUAUGUCCAUGAAAACUGGCUGGGGAAAAAAGGAAGGUAUCCAUCCACUGGCUUUAUGGGUGUGGUGCUUGCAAUGCACAUUUGUGAUGAGGUCAGUGUAUUUGGAUUUGGCGCAGACAAGGAUGGAAACUGGAGACACUACUGGGAGGAGCUUCAAAACAAAAAUCUUGGAACUGGACCCCAUGGAGGAGGGCAAGAGUACAAACGUAUUCUGGAACUUGCAGAGAAGCAGAAACUGAACUUCUAUAAAGGGUUUUGAAUGUUUUCCGUCUCUCUGACACAAUGGUCGUGGUAGUAGUACAUCAGCACUUAAACAUUUACUGCCAACCUCACUUCUUUCUCCAUUUUGUAAGACUCUUCUAGUUAGGGUUGUGAUGAUUUGAGAUCAAACAUGGACACAUCUCUGUGGUUACAUUUUGUGGCUUAUUUUGUUGGUGUUUUGUUGUGACACUUGUUCAGCAGUUUGUCAAACUGUGGAGUGAGCUUGAGAUCUGGGGUCUCUUAUGGCCCUGACAAACCAUUCUUACUGCACAUCGGCGGCAGAGAAGGCAGACCAAUUUGGUCAUGGCCAAUUCAACAUGUGCAAUUGGCCGAAAAGAACCCAGACGGGCUUGAAAAGAUCACCGACGGCUUUUUUCGACAGCCGAUCGCAGAGCACACACCAAACAGACUCAGGCAACCGAGCUCGCCAGACUGCCAGAAGACCGAUAAUCCGGUUUAUGUGUCAGGGCUUUUAAUGAAAGAGGGCCUCAAGGAAAAUUUCAUGGCUUCAGAUCUACAAGAAUUGAUGCAAAAUUCUUUGAAAGGAUAGUGUAAACUCUACACUAUGCUUAGGGGGGCCUGGUAGAUCUCUUCUCUCUGCUCUCUGGACUCUCUCUUUUUUGGGCGCUGUCUUUUUCCUCCUCUAGCUGACGGAUACGUCUCUCUAGGAGGGCUCUACUUUAUAUGUUUUUAAAACAGGUUUUAAAGUAGUAGCUUGGAAGGAUAUUAAGCCUGUUGCUGCUGCCGUCUUGCUGUCAUUCCACCUCGUUAGGAAAGGGGUAUUCAAACAUGAAUUAUAUUUUUGUUGUGAAAUAAUAAAACCAUGACAAGGAAAGCGGUCAAUAAGUGUUAUUUCAAACACAAAAAUAGAAUAUUAAUAUCUUAAAAAACAGCAAGGAAGAACGGGGGUCAGUUUUCUUUUGUUUCUGUGAACAAAGACAAACAAAAGCUGAGCUACUCCGCAAAACACUUGUUUCUCCCGUUUCGCCAAAAGCAGGUGUAUUUGUUUUUCUAGCCUCACCUUGUGAUUCCUAAAAUAAGCUUCAAGCCAGGCUUGUUAAUCAAACAAUGCCCAUAUAUGGCAUCAACCAGUGAUGCCAUGAUGAUUUCUUUCCGUUCUCUUCAUGUUUAUCAAGCACAACUUGUUCUUCCACAUACUUGUGGCACACUGGCAAACAUUUCACCCAGUUUUCCCUAAUCCUUUUACCUCCCCUCCCUCAUCCAUCAGUGAACAACCAGUUUACCCAAUCCCUCUAACCUUCUCUAAAUUGCCCCUUCCCCUUAGUAGAUACCCUUGUCCAUUCCUUUCACAACACCCUCUAUCCAUUAGUUGGUCUCGACCUCAUCAGCUUUAUUAUAAAGUAAUGUCAUUCUUUGUGUGGGAUUGUGCACCUGGUACAGCAUGCAGACUUACACCAAGUUGAAGAGGGUGGGACAAAGCGCAGAAGGCAUCUGAUCCGAUCAAUCAUAAAAUCAGACUGGCGCUGGUGUGGAACACACACGCUGCUUUUGUUGUUGCAAUAAACCCAUUAUAUAUUUAAUUUUUUUGUUUAAUUUAUUGUAUGACGAUAUUUCUAUGUGUGAAGUGCCUUGAACCUACCUCGUGUAUGAAAAUAAUCCAAAAUAAAGUUGCCCUGCCUUCACUC